rnacentral:rRNA from 1 species
GUCGAGCGAACGGACGAGAAGCUUGCUUCUCUGAUGUUAGCGGCGGACGGGUGAGUAACACGUGGAUAACCUACCUAUAAGACUGGGAUAACUUCGGGAAACCGGAGCUAAUACCGGAUAAUAUUUUGAACCGCAUGGUUCAAAAGUGAAAGACGGUCUUGCUGUCACUUAUAGAUGGAUCCGCGCUGCAUUAGCUAGUUGGUAAGGUAACGGCUUACCAAGGCAACGAUGCAUAGCCGACCUGAGAGGGUGAUCGGCCACACUGGAACUGAGACACGGUCCAGACUCCUACGGGAGGCAGCAGUAGGGAAUCUUCCGCAAUGGGCGAAAGCCUGACGGAGCAACGCCGCGUGAGUGAUGAAGGUCUUCGGAUCGUAAAACUCUGUUAUUAGGGAAGAACAUAUGUGUAAGUAACUGUGCACAUCUUGACGGUACCUAAUCAGAAAGCCACGGCUAACUACGUGCCAGCAGCCGCGGUAAUACGUAGGUGGCAAGCGUUAUCCGGAAUUAUUGGGCGUAAAGCGCGCGUAGGCGGUUUUUUAAGUCUGAUGUGAAAGCCCACGGCUCAACCGUGGAGGGUCAUUGGAAACUGGAAAACUUGAGUGCAGAAGAGGAAAGUGGAAUUCCAUGUGUAGCGGUGAAAUGCGCAGAGAUAUGGAGGAACACCAGUGGCGAAGGCGACUUUCUGGUCUGUAACUGACGCUGAUGUG